rnacentral:rRNA from 1 species
GACGGAGGGUGCAAGCGUUGUUCGGAUUGACUGGGCGUAAAGGGCGUGUAGGCGGUUGGUCAAGUCCGAUGUGAAAGCCCGGGGCUCAGCUUCGGAAGUGCAUCGGAAACUAGCCAGCUGGAGCGCGAUAGAGGAGGGCGGAAUUCCUGGUGUAGCGGUGAAAUGCGCAGAUAUCAGGAGGAACACCGAUGGCGAAGGCAGGUCUCUGGGCAUUAACUGACGCUGAGGAGCGAAAGCAUGGGGAGCGAACAGG